rnacentral:lncRNA from 1 species
CAUUAAUUAAGCAUCGCAAUAGAAACCAAGGGCUGCUCAUAAAUAUCUCCACCUCAACAUGUGUCCUUAUCAGAAGUCUGGAGGGGAGAAACUGGGCUCUGUAGCACAGUGAGGACCCUUCCUCACUCAUUCUGUAGGCAGCAAAGGUGCAAGCAGUGCUCUCAGCAGGCUUAGCUCCUCUGGUUUUGUGCUGGAGUUACACCCUGCUUUUCUUUCACCUGAGCUGUUGCUUCAGUCAUAGAAUCCUAGAAUCAUAGAAUGGCCUGGGUUGAAAAGGACCACAAUGCUCAUCCAGUUCCAACCCCCUGCUAUGUGCAGGGUCGCCAGCCACCAGACCAGGCUGCCCAGAGCCAC